rnacentral:rRNA from 1 species
GGAAGCGUCUGGAAAGGCGCGCGAUACAGGGUGACAGCCCCGUACACAAAAAUGCACAUGCUGUGAGCUCGAUGAGUAGGGCGGGACACGUGGUAUCCUGUCUGAAUAUGGGGGGACCAUCCUCCAAGGCUAAAUACUCCUGACUGACCGAUAGUGAACCAGUACCGUGAGGGAAAGGCGAAAAGAACCCCGGCGAGGGGAGUGAAAAAGAACCUGAAACCGUGUACGUACAAGCAGUGGGAGCACGCUUAGGCGUGUGACUGCGUACCUUUUGUAUAAUGGGUCAGCGACUUAUAUUCUGUAGCAAGGUUAACCGAAUAGGGGAGCCGAAGGGAAACCGAGUCUUAACUGGGCGUUAAGUUGCAGGGUAUAGACCCGAAACCCGGUGAUCUAGCCAUGGGCAGGUUGAAGGUUGGGUAACACUAACUGGAGGACCGAACCGACUAAUGUUGAAAAAUUAGCGGAUGACUUGUGGCUGGGGGUGAAAGGCCAAUCAAACCGGGAGAUAGCUGGUUCUCCCCGAAAGCUAUUUAGGUAGCGCCUCGUGAAUUCAUCUCCGGGGGUAGAGCACUGUUUCGGCAAGGGGGUCAUCCCGACUUACCAACCCGAUGCAAACUGCGAAUACCGGAGAAUGUUAUCACGGGAGACACACGGCGGGUGCUAACGUCCGUCGUGAAGAGGGAAACAACCCAGACCGCCAGCUAAGGUCCCAAAGUCAUGGUUAAGUGGGAAACGAUGUGGGAAGGCCCAGACAGCCAGGAUGUUGGCUUAGAAGCAGCCAUCAUUUAAAGAAAGCGUAAUAGCUCACUGGUCGAGUCGGCCUGCGCGGAAGAUGUAACGGGGCUAAACCAUGCACCGAAGCUGCGGCAGCGACGCUUAUGCGUUGUUGGGUAGGGGAGCGUUCUGUAAGCCUGUGAAGGUGUGCUGUGAGGCAUGCUGGAGGUAUCAGAAGUGCGAAUGCUGACAUAAGUAACGAUAAAGCGGGUGAAAAGCCCGCUCGCCGGAAGACCAAGGGUUCCUGUCCAACGUUAAUCGGGGCAGGGUGAGUCGACCCCUAAGGCGAGGCCGAAAGGCGUAGUCGAUGGGAAACAGGUUAAUAUUCCUGUACUUGGUGUUACUGCGAAGGGGGGACGGAGAAGGCUAUGUUGGCCGGGCGACGGUUGUCCCGGUUUAAGCGUGUAGGCUGGUUUUCCAGGCAAAUCCGGAAAAUCAAGGCUGAGGCGUGAUGACGAGGCACUACGGUGCUGAAGCAACAAAUGCCCUGCUUCCAGGAAAAGCCUCUAAGCAUCAGGUAACAUCAAAUCGUACCCCAAACCGACACAGGUGGUCAGGUAGAGAAUACCAAGGCGCUUGAGAGAACUCGGGUGAAGGAACUAGGCAAAAUGGUGCCGUAACUUCGGGAGAAGGCACGCUGAUAUGUAGGUGAAGUCCCUCGCGGAUGGAGCUGAAAUCAGUCGAAGAUACCAGCUGGCUGCAACUGUUUAUUAAAAACACAGCACUGUGCAAACACGAAAGUGGACGUAUACGGUGUGACGCCUGCCCGGUGCCGGAAGGUUAAUUGAUGGGGUCAGCGCAAGCGAAGCUCUUGAUCGAAGCCCCGGUAAACGGCGGCCGUAACUAUAACGGUCCUAAGGUAGCGAAAUUCCUUGUCGGGUAAGUUCCGACCUGCACGAAUGGCGUAAUGAUGGCCAGGCUGUCUCCACCCGAGACUCAGUGAAAUUGAACUCGCUGUGAAGAUGCAGUGUACCCGCGGCAAGACGGAAAGACCCCGUGAACCUUUACUAUAGCUUGACACUGAACAUUGAGCCUUGAUGUGUAGGAUAGGUGGGAGGCUUAGAAGUGUGGACGCCAGUCUGCAUGGAGCCGACCUUGAAAUACCACCCUUUAAUGUUUGAUGUUCUAACGUUGACCCGUAAUCCGGGUUGCGGACAGUGUCUGGUGGGUAGUUUGACUGGGGCGGUCUCCUCCUAAAGAGUAACGGAGGAGCACGAAGGUUGGCUAAUCCUGGUCGGACAUCAGGAGGUUAGUGCAAUGGCAUAAGCCAGCUUGACUGCGAGCGUGACGGCGCGAGCAGGUGCGAAAGCAGGUCAUAGUGAUCCGGUGGUUCUGAAUGGAAGGGCCAUCGCUCAACGGAUAAAAGGUACUCCGGGGAUAACAGGCUGAUACCGCCCAAGAGUUCAUAUCGACGGCGGUGUUUGGCACCUCGAUGUCGGCUCAUCACAUCCUGGGGCUGAAGUAGGUCCCAAGGGUAUGGCUGUUCGCCAUUUAAAGUGGUACGCGAGCUGGGUUUAGAACGUCGUGAGACAGUUCGGUCCCUAUCUGCCGUGGGCGCUGGAGAACUGAGGGGGGCUGCUCCUAGUACGAGAGGACCGGAGUGGACGCAUCACUGGUGUUCGGGUUGUCAUGCCAAUGGCACUGCCCGGUAGCUAAAUGCGGAAGAGAUAAGUGCUGAAAGCAUCUAAGCACGAAACUUGCC